rfam:Tilletia walkeri strain DAOM 236422 scaffold_133 mitochondrial, whole genome shotgun sequence.
AAGAGUAUGGUAUAAUAGGUAUUACAACGAUCUCCAAAGUCGUCAGAUUCAGGUUCGAGUCCUGAUACUCUUG